rnacentral:rRNA from 1 species
ACAGUUUAUACCGUAGCUUGCUACACCAUAGACUGUGAGUUGCGAACGGGUGAGUAACGCGUAGGUAACCUGCCUAUUAGAGGGGGAUAACUAUUGGAAACGAUAGCUAAUACCGCAUAACAGUAUGUAACACAUGUUAGAUGCUUGAAAGAUGCAAUUGCAUCGCUAGUAGAUGGACCUGCGUUGUAUUAGCUAGUAGGUAGGGUAAAGGCCUACCUAGGCAACGAUACAUAGCCGACCUGAGAGGGUGAUCGGCCACACUGGGACUGAGACACGGCCCAGACUCCUACGGGAGGCAGCAGUAGGGAAUCUUCGGCAAUGGGGGGAACCCUGACCGAGCAACGCCGCGUGAGUGACGAAGGUUUUCGGAUCGUAAAGCUCUGUUGUUAAGGAAGAACGAGUGUGAGAAUGGAAAGUUCAUACUGUGACGGUACUUAACCAGAAAGGGACGGCUAACUACGUGCCAGCAGCCGCGGUAAUACGUAGGUCCCGAGCGUUGUCCGGAUUUAUUGGGCGUAAAGCGAGCGCAGGCGGUUAGAAAAGUCUGAAGUGAAAGGCAGUGGCUCAACCAUUGUAGGCUUUGGAAACUGUUUAACUUGAGUGCAGAAGGGGAGAGUGGAAUUCCAUGUGUAGCGGUGAAAUGCGUAGAUAUAUGGAGGAACACCGGUGGCGAAAGCGGCUCUCUGGUCUGUAACUGACGCUGAGGCUCGAAAGCGUGGGGAGCGAACAGGAUUAGAUACCCUGGUAGUCCACGCCGUAAACGAUGAGUGCUAGGUGUUAGGUCCUUUCCGG